rnacentral:rRNA from 1 species
UUGGCGGACGGGUGAGUAACGCGUGGGGGAACCUGCCCUGUACAGGGGGAUAACACUUAGAAAUAGGUGCUAAUACCGCAUAAGCGCACAGUAUCGCAUGAUACAGUGUGAAAAACUCCGGUGGUACAGGAUGGACCCGCGUCUGAUUAGCUGGUUGGCGGGGUAACGGCCCACCAAGGCGACGAUCAGUAGCCGGCCUGAGAGGGUGAACGGCCACAUUGGGACUGAGACACGGCCCAAACUCCUACGGGAGGCAGCAG